GGAAGGAUCAUUAACACGUUUCGUUCCGAACGUAUUUGACCCUCUCUUAUUUUCCGUGCACCCAAACGCGUCCGGCCUCCUCAGCCGCUCACUGGGUUUACUCAGUGCUGCCUGUUGGGGCGCCUUCGGGAUCCAAAGGACUGUGGAUAGUGGUUGAGAAAUCGAUUGCUUUCCGCUUUCCUUCCUGAACGGCGUUGCCACCUCACCCAAACCCUUUAAUCUAACUGAUCUGAACUUUUAGUUGACUAUUUUUUCAGGGCGUCAAAAACCCUUUUCAAAUACCAACGACUUGAACAAACAACAACUCUUAACAACGGAUAUCUUGGUUCUCGCAACGAUGAAGAACGCAGCGAAAUGCGAUACGUAAUGCGAAUUGCAGAAUUCCGUGAAUCAUCAAGUUUUUGAACGCAAAUUGCGCCCUCUUUUAUCGGAGGGCACGCUUCUUUGAGUGUCGGUUUAACUUCUUUCUGGCAGCGUGCUGUCUUUGAAAGGCAUUUUUGAGCGUCUCUUCUUCUCUUUCACGAGAGAGCAAGUCGCUUUAAGUAUCUCAGGCUUGAUUGCCUGCCAGUGCACCGCUGGACUUGCGCUCAAAAAGAGUGUGAGUUGAGGUGGCGUGGAUAAUUCACUUCUUCAAUGAGGUGGUCCAAUACGUCAUUUCCUUUUCAGUUUCCGUUCAUUCGGACUGGAGGGAGAUCCUGCGAGACUUUACCGUUUCAAUGGGCUUUGACUUCCUCUUUGCAAGUUUUCCAGUAGCACGACAACCCACCAAACAGACCUCAAAUGAAGCGAGAGGACCCGGUGAAUUUAAGCAUAUUAUUAACCGGAGGAAAAGAAACUAACAAGGAUUCCCCUAGUAACGGCGAGUGAAGCGGGAAGAGCUCAACUUGGAAAUCGGUAGGGCAUGCGUCCGUCCGAAUUGUAGUCUAGAGACGUUACCGCAAGUGCGGGUGGCGGGUCAAAUUUCCCUGGAAAGGGAAGCCAAAGAGGGUGAGAGCCCCGUCUGUGACUCGUUUGCCUGUAUGUGUCGGUUCGUUCUUCGAGUCGAGUUGCCUGGGAUCGCAGCUCUAAAUGGGUGGUAAAUUUCAUCUAAAGCUAAAUAUGGGCGAGAGACCGAUAGCGAACAAGUACCGUGAGGGAAAGAUGAAAAGAACUUUGAAAAGAGAGUUAAAAGUACUUGAAAUUGUUAAGAGGGAAGCACUGGAAGCCAUUCGGGAAGCGUCUCUAGGGACUUAUGUCUUGUUCGAGGCGUUUUUGGGGUCAGCAUCAAUUUUUGGCGCGGGAGAAGGCUUUACUGCUCUACCAGCUGUCGGGGAUUGAGGAUUGAACGUUCAUUCGGUGUUUGCGUUUCGCAGUGAUGCCUCUUGGGGUGUAGAGCAAAGCUCUCCGCUUCUUGCUGUGUCAUUUUCGUUGCGCUCUACCUGUUCGUUCGUGAUGCUGACGAUACGGUUUUCAUUGACCCGUCUUGAAACACGGACCAAGGAGUCUAACAUAUAUGCGAGUAUUUGGGUGGUUUAAACCCUGGUGCGCAAUGAAAGUAAUUUUUGGUAGGAACCCUUCACCGGGCGCACUAUCGACCGAUCACGUAAGUGAUCUUGAGUAAGAGCAUAUCUGUUGGGACCCGAAAGAUGGUGAUCUAUGCCUGAACAGGGUGAAGCCAGGGGAAACUCUGGUGGAGGCUCGUAGCGAUACUGACGUGCAAAUCGUUCGUCUGAUUUGGGUAUAGGGGCGAAAGACUAAUCGAACCAUCUAGUAGCUGGUUCCCUC
rnacentral:misc_RNA from 1 species